AACGGCCGUACCAUGCUGAAUAUACCGGUUCUCGUUAGAUCACCGAAGUUAAGCAUCAUUGGGCGCGGUCAGUACUUGGGUGGCAAAUGCUGGCAAAUUU